AACGAACGCUGGCGGCAUGCCUAACACAUGCAAGUCGAACGAGACCUUCGGGUUUAGUUGCGCACGGGUGCGUAACGCGUGGGAACUUGCCCUUAGGUUCGGAAUAACUCCCCGAAAGGGGUCCUAAUACCGGUUAAUCUCUUCGGACCAAAGAUGUAUCGCCUUUGGAUGGGCCCGCGUUGGCUUCGCCAGUUGGUAGGGGACAAGCCUAUCAAGGCGACGAUCCAUAGCUGGUCGGAGAGGAUGAUUAGCACCACUGGGACUGAGACACGGCCCAGACUCCUACGGGAGGCAGCAGUAGAGAGUAUUGGACAAUGGGCGAAAGCGUGAUCCAGCAGUGCGGCGUGAGUGAUGAAGGCCUUAGGGUUGUAAAGCUCUUUUACCCGGGAUGAUAAUGACGGUACCGGGAGAAGAAGCGCCGGCUAACUCCGUG
rnacentral:rRNA from 1 species